rnacentral:misc_RNA from 1 species
UGGUUCUGGCAUCGAUGAAGAACGCAGCGAAAUGCGAUAAGUAAUGUGAAUUGCAGAAUUCAGUGAAUCAUCGAGUUUUUGAACGCACAUUGCGCCCCUUGGUAUUCCGAGGGGCAUGCCCGUUCGAGCGUCAUUGCACCCAUCAAACCUCGGUUUGGUCUUGGGCACCGGGGGCGACCCGGGCCCCAAUGUCUCCGGCCGGAGUGUAUCACCGCGCGGCGUUGUGGUUCUUAACGAAUUCGCCGACGGGGUGGGCACUUCGCGCCGUCAAACAUAUCUCCAAGUUUGACCUCGGAUCGGGUAAGGAUACCCGCUGA